rnacentral:lncRNA from 1 species
GACCUGUCUCCUGCAUUCCCCAUGGCAGCAACAACAUCAGGCUGUUUUGUGAAACAGCCUUUGUCCUAAAAUGUUGAGGACAAUAAGGUGGAGGCUGCAGCACAUGUCAAGAAAACACUGGGAACCAAAAAUUCGGCACCUGUCUCUGAAGUUGAUUGGACAUGAUGGGCCCAGGCAAGAUUUGCCUGGCGCAUCGUUCCUAAGGAAGCAGGAUCCCAACAAUGGAACUUUCCUUCUUCUCUGCUGUCAACAAAGGACUAAAAAACUUCUGUGUGAUUUGAUACAAUUUAGAAAACUUUUGUUUCAAAGUUUCCCAUCCAGACUAGCCAAGGAGAGAAAGGGAGGGGAACUAAUAAGCCCAUUAAGGUGUCUUCCCAAACAAAUAUUUUCCUUGUCCUUCUGCCCAAAUGCAGAAACAGCUGCAGCUUUAAAAAUAGCAUGCUUUUAUCUUUCGAAGGAAAUAUGCGAAAGUUUUAGCACUGGUUGUCUUUGGGUGGCAAGAAAUUAUUUAGUGUUAUUUAUUUCUUCCUAUUUUUCUGAAUUUUCCAAAUUGUCCACAGCAAGCAUGACUACUUUAUCAUAAUAAAAUCUCCAAUGUAUUAUGC